GACGAACGCGGCGGCGUGCCUAAUACAUGCAAGUAGAACGCUGAAGAGAGGAGCUUGCUCUUCUUGGAUGAGUUGCGAACGGGUGAGUAACGCGUAGGUAACCUGCCUGGUAGCGGGGGAUAACUAUUGGAAACGAUAGCUAAUACCGCAUAAAAUGGAUUAUCGCAUGAUAAUCCAUUGAAAGGUGCAAAUGCAUCACUACCAGAUGGACCUGCGUUGUAUUAGCUAGUUGGUGGGGUAACGGCUCACCAAGGCGACGAUACAUAGCCGACCUGAGAGGGUGAUCGGCCACACUGGGACUGAGACACGGCCCAGACUCCUACGGGAGGCAGCAGUAGGGAAUCUUCGGCAAUGGACGGAAGUCUGACCGAGCAACGCCGCGUGAGUGAAGAAGGUUUUCGGAUCGUAAAGCUCUGUUGUAAGAGAAGAACGAGUGUGAGAGUGGAAAGUUCACACU
rnacentral:rRNA from 1 species